UUAGGGGAUUAGCAGAGAUACUUUAGUGCCUUCGGGAACUCUGAGACAGGUGCUGCAUGGCUGUCGUCAGCUCGUGUUGUGAAAUGUUGGGUUAAGUCCCGCAACGAGCGCAACCCUUAUCCUUUGUUGCCAGCACGUAAUGGUGGGAACUCAAAGGAGACUGCCGGUGAUAAACCGGAGGAAGGUGGGGAUGACGUCAAGUCAUCAUGGCCCUUACGAGUAGGGCUACACACGUGCUACAAUGGCAUAUACAAAGAGAAGCGAACUCGCGAGAGCAAGCGGACCUCAUAAAGUAUGUCGUAGUCCGGAUUGGAGUCUGCAACUCGACUCCAUGAAGUCGGAAUCGCUAGUAAUCGUAGAUCAGAAUGCUACGGUGAAUACGUUCCCGGGUCUUGUUACACACCGA
rnacentral:rRNA from 1 species